AACAUGAAACUGACGACAGUCCUGCUCCUGCUAAGAAGUCCAAAGUUGCUGAAGUUGAAGAUGAAGAGAAAGUGAAGACCAUAAAAGUAGAUGAAGCUGCUGCGGAUGUUGAAGACGAGAAGAAAGAAAAGAAGAAAAAGAAAAAGAAGAAGGAUAAAGAGAAUGGAGAUGCUGCAUCUUCCGAUGAUGAGAAAGUUGUAAAGGAAAAGAAAAAGAAGAACAAGGAAAAGGGUGAAGAUGGUUCUCCUGAAGUGGACAAGUCCGAGAAGAAGAAAAAGAAGCAAAAGGAAAAAGUUGAAGAUGCUUCACCUGAAGUGGAGAAGUCUGAGAAGAAGAAAAAGAAGAAAGACAAAGAAGCCAAAGAUAGUGCUGCAGAGAUCAGUAACGGAAAGGAAGAAGGAAGCGCAGAUAGAAGUGAAAAGAAGCACAAGAAAAAGAAAAACAAAGAUGUCCAAGAAGAAUAGAUGAUGGCGUGAUUUUGUGAUUUUGGUUUAACAUGUAAUGCCAUUUCUUCUUUAUUCAUAGUUUACUUUGUUUAGUUUGCUGUUUUUACUUUAAUGUUUUAUAGUUCUCUAAUUAUCAUGUUUUGGGCACCUUGUAGUACGUUAUAUCUUAUGAAAGGCCUUUGCUUAAGAUUGUUCUAUUAGUUUUAAUGUAAAACUCUAUUACCUACUUGGUUGAAGCUUAUCUUAUGAACAUUGCCAUUUUCCAGCAAUUUUGUUUUUACUUGAGGAUAAUGGAAUGGAUGAAGAUGAGAAUAAUUAACUUGACUUCUGAU
rnacentral:lncRNA from 1 species